AGGGUGUAAACGCUGCAGACUUGGUGUUGGAAAUCCUUCGAGGGUAUUCAGUGCCGGAGAGAAGUUGUUAAGUCUGCUACUUGGGGAGUACGUCCGCAAGGAUGAAACUUAAAGGAAUUGGCGGGGGAGCACCGCAACGGGAGGAGCGUGCGGUUUAAUUGGAUUCAACACCGGAAAACUCACCAGGGGAGACUGUUACAUGAAACCCAGACUAAUGAUCUUGGUUGAUUUUUCAGAGAGGAGGUGCAUGGCGUCAGUGACCU
rnacentral:rRNA from 1 species